AGUGAUCGAGUCGUUACAAUUGCUGUAUGAAACAAGAAGUAACAACAAAAGAGGAAUAUAGGAUUGCUCUCUGAUGUACUUUUCAGUGACCAUAAUAAAGGACAACAUGGUUGUUUUGUCUGAUCAGAGAAGUAACAAGAUAUUGAAGUUGGCUGCAGUUUCGCUUCAAGAACUAAUAGUUAAUGGUGAGUCUUCAGGUGUUCAGGAGAGAAUACUUUUUUAACAGAUAUUUCGAGGAAUGGUUGACAAGAACAUCCUCAGUGGAAAAGCAUUCAGGUUUUCUUGUUACUGAAAAAAAGAUCUACUUCUAGAAAAUUCUGGUGAACUGUUGAAAAAGUCAACAAUUUUCAGUGGAGAAAAUAUAAGAUUUCAGCCUGUACCAAGGUUCUUGCAACUCAACAGUUAGGAGAUAGAAAGAGAGAGAAGUGGUUAGGACCCAAAAAGUAAUUUGAAAAAAAAUCAGUUAAAAACUCCUAUGUGAAAUCCUAGAUGGUAGCGGAACAAAAAAGAUUUUGGAGUUAACAGAAAGGAUACGGGCUUUCCAUAUGAAGAAACAUACAAAUGCGGGUGGUCUGUACUGCUUCUGUAAAGGUGAG